GACGAACGCUGGCGGCGUGCUUAACACAUACAAGUCGAACGGAAAGGCCCUUCGGGGUACUCGAGUGGCGAACGGGUGAGUAACACGUGGGUGAUCUGCCCUGCACUUUGGGAUAAGCCUGGGAAACUGGGUCUAAUACCGAAUAUGACCACGCGCUUCAUGGUGUGUGGUGGAAAGCUUUUGCGGUGUGGGAUGAGCCCGCGGCCUAUCAGCUUGUUGGUGGGGUAAUGGCCUACCAAGGCGACGACGGGUAGCCGGCCUGAGAGGGUGACCGGCCACACUGGGACGGAGAUACGGGCCAGACUCCUACGGGAGGCAGCAGUGGGGAAUAUUGCACAAUGGGCGCAAGCCUGAUGCAGCGACGCCGCGUGAGGGAUGACGGCCUUCGGGUUGUAAACCUCUUUCAGCACAGACGAAGCGCAAGUGACGGUAUAUGCAGAAGAAGGACCGGCCAACUACGUGCCAGCCGCCGCCGUAAUAC
rnacentral:rRNA from 1 species